GACGAACGCUGGCGGCGUGCUUAACACAUGCAAGUCGAACGGUAAGGCCCUUCGGGGUACACGAGUGGCGAAUGGGUGAGUAACACGUGGGUGAUCUGCCCUGCACUUCGGGAUAAGCCUGGGAAACUGGGUCUAAUACCGGAUAGGACCACUGCCUGCAUGGGUGGUGGUGGAAAGCUUUUGCGGUGUGGGAUGGGCCCGCGGCCUAUCAGCUUGUUGGUGGGGUGAUGGCCUACCAAGGCGACGACGGGUAGCCGGCCUGAGAGGGUGACCGGCCACACUGGGACUGAGAUACGGCCCAGACUCCUACGGGAGGCAGCAGUGGGGAAUAUUGCACAAUGGGCGCAAGCCUGAUGCAGCGACGCCGCGUGAGGGAUGACGGCCUUCGGGUUGUAAACCUCCUUCAGCACCGACGAAGCGCAAGUGACGGUAGGUGCAGAAGAAGGACCGGCCAACUACGUGCCAGCAGCCGCCGUAA
rnacentral:rRNA from 1 species